rnacentral:rRNA from 1 species
CGGUCGAGCGGUAGCACAGAGAGCUUGCUCUCGGGUGACGAGCGGCGGACGGGUGAGUAAUGUCUGGGAAACUGCCUGAUGGAGGGGGAUAACUACUGGAAACGGUAGCUAAUACCGCAUAACGUCGCAAGACCAAAGUGGGGGACCUUCGGGCCUCAUGCCAUCAGAUGUGCCCAGAUGGGAUUAGCUGGUAGGUGGGGUAACGGCUCACCUAGGCGACGAUCCCUAGCUGGUCUGAGAGGAUGACCAGCCACACUGGAACUGAGACACGGUCCAAACUUAUACGGGAGGCAGCAGUGGGGAAUAUUGCACAAUGGGCGCAAGCCUGAUGCAGCCAUGCCGCGUGUGUGAAGAAGGCCUUCGGGUUGUAAAGCACUUUCAGCGGGGAGGAAGGCGGUGAGGUUAAUAACCUUGUCGAUUGACGUUACCCGCAGAAGAAGCACCGGCUAACUCCGUGCCAGCAGCCGCGGUAAUACGGAGGGUGCAAGCGUUAAUCGGAAUUACUGGGCGUAAAGCGCACGCAGGCGGUCUGUCAAGUCGGAUGUGAAAUCCCCGGGCUCAACCUGGGAACUGCAUUCGAAACUGGCAGGCUAGAGUCUUGUAGAGGGGGGUAGAAUUCCAGGUGUAGCGGUGAAAUGCGUAGAGAUCUGGAGGAAUACCGGUGGCGAAGGCGGCCCCCUGGACAAAGACUGACGCUCAGGUGCGAAAGCGUGGGGAGCAAACAGGAUUAGAUACCCUGGUAGUCCACGCUGUAAACGAUGUCGAUUUGGAGGUUGUGCCCUUGAGGCGUGGCUUCCGGAGCUAACGCGUUAAAUCGACCGCCUGGGGAGUACGGCCGCAAGGUUAAAACUCAAAUGAAUUGACGGGGGCCCGCACAAGCGGUGGAGCAUGUGGUUUAAUUCGAUGCAACGCGAAGAACCUUACCUGGUCUUGACAUCCACAGAACUUUCCAGAGAUGGAUUGGUGCCUUCGGGAACUGUGAGACAGGUGCUGCAUGGCUGUCGUCAGCUCGUGUUGUGAAAUGUUGGGUUAAGUCCCGCAACGAGCGCAACCCUUAUCCUUUGUUGCCAGCGGUUAGGCCGGGAACUCAAAGGAGACUGCCAGUGAUAAACUGGAGGAAGGUGGGGAUGACGUCAAGUCAUCAUGGCCCUUACGACCAGGGCUACACACGUGCUACAAUGGCAUAUACAAAGAGAAGCGACCUCGCGAGAGCAAGCGGACCUCAUAAAGUAUGUCGUAGUCCGGAUUGGAGUCUGCAACUCGACUCCAUGAAGUCGGAAUCGCUAGUAAUCGUAGAUCAGAAUGCUACGGUGAAUACGUUCCCGGGCCUUGUACACACCGCCCGUCACACCAUGGGAGUGGGUUGCAAAAGAAGUAGGUAGCUUAACCUUCGGGAGGGCGCUUACCACUUUGUGAUUCAUGACUGGGGUGAAGUCG